rnacentral:rRNA from 1 species
AGUGAACGCUGGCGGUAGGCCUAACACAUGCAAGUCGAACGGCAGCACAGUAAGAGCUUGCUCUUACGGGUGGCGAGUGGCGGACGGGUGAGGAAUACAUCGGAAUCUACUUUUUCGUGGGGGAUAACGUAGGGACACUUACGCUAAUACCGCAUACGACCUACGGGUGAAAGCAGGGGAUCUUCGGACCUUGCGCGAUUGAAUGAGCCGAUGUCGGAUUAGCUAGUUGGCGGGGUAAAGGCCCACCAAGGCGACGAUCCGUAGCUGGUCUGAGAGGAUGAUCAGCCACACUGGAACUGAGACACGGUCCAGACUCCUACGGGAGGCAGCAGUGGGGAAUAUUGGACAAUGGGCGCAAGCCUGAUCCAGCCAUACCGCGUGGGUGAAGAAGGCCUUCGGGUUGUAAAGCCCUUUUGUUGGGGAAGAAAAGCAGCAGGUUAAUACCCCGCUGUUCUGACGGUACCCAAAGAAUAAGCACCGGCUAACUUCGUG